UACGUAGGGUGCAAGCGUUGUCCGGAAUUAUUGGGCGUAAAGAGCUCGUAGGCGGUUUGUUGCGUCGGCUGUGAAAUCCCGAGGCUCAACCUCGGGUCUGCAGUCGAUACGAGCAAACUAGAGUGUUGCAGGGGAGACUGGAAUUCCUGGUGUAGCGGUGAAAUGCGUAGAUAUCUGGAGGAACACCGGUGGCGAAGGCGGCAUCCUGGACCGACACUGACACUGAGGAGCGAAAGCUAGGGGAGCAAACGGG
rnacentral:rRNA from 1 species